GAUGAACGCUGGCGGCGUGCCUAAUACAUGCAAGUCGAGCGAACAGACGAGGAGCUUGCUCCUCUAACGUUAGCGGCGGACGGGUGAGUAACACGUGGAUAACCUACCUAUAAGACUGGGAUAACUUCGGGAAACCGGAGCUAAUACCGGAGAAUAUAUUGAACCGCAUGGUUCAAUAGUGAAAGACGGCUUUGCUGUCUCUUAUAGAUGGACCCGCGCCGCAUUAGCUAGUUGGUAAGGUAACGGCUUACCAAGGCAACGAUGCGUAGCCGACCUGAUGGGGUGACCGGCACACCUGGAACUGGGCCACGGUCAGACCUCCUAGGGAGGGCAGCGUGGGGAAUACUUGCGAAAUGGGCGAAGGCCUAACGAGGCAACGCCGCGUGGGUGAUGAGGGUCUUCGGAUCGUAAAACCCUGUUAUGGGGGAAGAACAAAUGUGUAUGUAACUAUGCAGGUCUUGACGGUACCUAAUAAGAAGGCCACGGCUAACUACGU
rnacentral:rRNA from 1 species